rnacentral:ncRNA from 1 species
UUAGUUUUACCCUAAUAAUUCAACCUCAUACAAGAAAAACCAUUGAUUCAUACAAUUGGUCAUCGCGCUUGGUUAAAAAGCCAAUGGCGUGAAACUACCGUGCAUUGGAUUAUGAUUGAAUGCCUCUAAGUCAAAAUCCGGCUAAAAGUGACGCAUGCACUCGUCACUAGAUUGCCAACCUGCAGUAGGGGACUUGUCCCCAUGGGCACGUGUCGUUGGUGAAGCCCUCGCGAUGGAUGAACCACGUGGGCCGCCUUGAAACACAAUUUUUAUUGAGCGACGGGUAGAAUCUUUUGCAGACGACUUACAUACAUGAUGGGGUAUUGUAAGUGGUGGCCUUGCUGUCACGAUCCACUAAAAUUCAACCAUUGUCGCUUCGAUUU